rnacentral:rRNA from 1 species
UACGUAGGGGGCGAGCGUUGUCCGGAUUUAUUGGGCGUAAAGGGCGUGUAGGCGGCUGCGUAAGUGGUAGGUGAAAUCGCCCGGCUCAACUGGGCGGGGGCCUAGCAGACUGCGGAGCUGGAGGACGGUAGGGGCGCGUGGAAUUCCCGGUGUAGUGGUGAAAUGCGUAGAGCUCGGGAGGAACACCGGUGGCGAAGGCGGCGCGCUGGGCCGGUCCUGACGCUGAGGCGCGAAAGCGUGGGGAGCGAACUGG